rnacentral:rRNA from 1 species
UACGUAGGUGCCCAGCGUUGUCCGGAUUUACUGGGCGUAAAGAGCGCGCAGGCGGUCGUUCAAGUCGAGUGUGAAAGCCCCCGGCUCAACUGGGGAGGGUCACUUGAUACUGGUCGACUCGAAGGCAGGAGAGGGAAGCGGAAUUCCCGGUGUAGUGGUGAAAUGCGUAGAUAUCGGGAGGAACACCAGUGGCGAAGGCGGCUCCCUGGCGUGGUCUUGACGCUGAGGCGCGAAAGCCAGGGGAGCGAACGGG